UAAGAUAAGUGCAAUUGCAAUAAAAUAUUUCCGUUUACCUGUCCGUUCGUUUUUUGUGGGGUUUUUUUAUGAGCUAUGUUGCGAGGCGAAUGGUUGUUUCUGCGAGUAAGUCUUCUUUUGUGGAGAGAAUUCGCCUGCAUGGAAUAUAAGCGGUAGUGUGUUUUCACAUGGCGACACUGUCUGAUGGACAUUUUAUCACCAAGAAAAUGUCAAGAGCGAGGCCAGGAUUUCCACUUCUGCCGCCUUUCGAAAGGCAUCUCCAACCGCUCCGUCUGCUCCCCCCUCUGCCCCUCCCUCCUGCGGCCUCUGCCUUGAAAGCCGCCAGGUACAGCGGUGCCCAGAUGCCGGACAGCGGUGGCAGCCUGGCGGAC